GAGGUGUAGAUCACAUCUCACAUUCCAGUGUUCCUAAUGGAGGUGUAGAUCACAUCUCACAUUCCAGUGUUCCUAAUAGAGGUGUAGAUCACAUCUCACAUUCCAGUGUUCCUAAUGGAGGUGUAGAUUACAUCUCACAUUCCAGUGUUCCUAAUGGAGGUGUAGAUUACAUCUCACAUUCCAGUGUUCCUAAUGGAGGUGUAGAUUACAUCUCACAUUCCAGUGUUCCUAUUGGAGGUGUAGAUCACAUCUCACAUUCAAGUGUUCCUAAUGG